rnacentral:lncRNA from 1 species
ACGGUCGCGUCUUUUACAUUGACCACAACACGCGCCAGACGUCGUGGAUCGACCCCCGCGACCGCCUCGCCCAUCCCGGUCCCGGGCGUCUGCGGCCCACUGCCCCGGCCCUGGUUCUGCAGGUGUCCCCAGCCCCGCGGUGGCGAGAUGAGCUGUCACCUUGGAUCACAAACGUGCGCCCCAGCUUUGGGGUGCGGGUUCCCUGUCUGGCGGGUUCAGGCUGGUUUCCAUCCAAAACCUGAUGUCAGACGGGCCCUUGAGGGAUUCCCAACCCUUUUGGAGUUGGAGAAGUCUGUUCCCAAACUCUAGUUGCUCUUUAGCGCCUUAAAACUCGUGAGUUAAAACUGUUUGAAAUAGCCUUCUGUACUGCAGCCAGAAUGCAAUAUGAUUAGUCCCAUAUGCUUUUGGAAUAAACGAAAAACAAGAAUUGUAUUUUAAGUUUCCUUUUUGUGAAAGAUAUGCAUGGGGUACAAAGCUGUCUUAUUCACGUAUAAAAACCCAAUCAAGUAAAAACUGAUUCUUGUAAAAGCA